GNCACANUGGGGANUUUGGANAAUGGGGGAACCCUGUAUCCAGCCAUCCCGCGUGUAUGAUGAAGGCCUUCGGGUUGUAAAGUACUUUUGGCAGAGAAGAAAAGGUAUCCCCUAAUACGGGAUACUGCUGACGGUAUCUGCAGAAUAAGCACCGGCUAACUACGUGCCAGCAGCCGCGGUAAUACGUAGGGUGCAAGCGUUAAUCGGAAUUACUGGGCGUAAAGCGUGUGUAGGCGGUUCGGAAAGAAAGAUGUGAAAUCCCAGGGCUCAACCUUGGAACUGCAUUUUUAACUGCCGAGCUAGAGUAUGUCAGAGGGGGGUAGAAUUCCACGUGUAGCAGUGAAAUGCGUAGAUAUGUGGAGGAAUACCGAUGGCGAAGGCAGCCCCCUGGGAUAAUACUGACGCUCAGACACGAAAGCGUGGGGAGCAAACAGGAUUAGAUACCCUGGUAGUCCACGCCCUAAACGAUGUCAACUAGCUGUUGGGGCCGUUAGGCCUUAGUAGCGCAGCUAACGCGUGAAGUUGACCGCCUGGGGAGUACGGUCGCAAGAUUAAAACUCAANGGAAUUGACGGGGACCCGCACAAGCGGUGGAUGAUGUGGAUUAAUCCGAUGCAACGCGAAAAAACCUUACCUACCCNUNGACAUGUCUGGAAANCCNAAAAAAUUUNGGCCGUGCUCCCAANANAACCGGAACC
rnacentral:rRNA from 1 species